rnacentral:lncRNA from 1 species
GGAUCAUCUUCCUAUGUAAUAUCAGUCACAUGAGUAUAAGAUAAGACGUUUGUUCAUCAGAAUCGGGAAUGUCGUGACUCAAUAUGUAAAAGUCUACACAUGUCUUUAGAUCAUACUCAUGACCAUUUCAUCUGAGCCAUCUCUUCCUCCUCUGCUUGGUAAGUUUAAGCUUUGCUCUCAGACAAUAUGCAACAUGUUGCUUGCAUCAAUUAACAUCCAUAUACCAGAUUUUGAAGCAAAUAAUAUUCACAUACACCUAAAC